rnacentral:rRNA from 1 species
AACGAACGCUGGCGGCAUGCUUAACACAUGCAAGUCGAACGGAAUAAUUUAGCUUGCUAAAUUAUUUAGUGGCAAACGGGUGAGUAACGCGUGGGAAUCUACCUUGUAGUACGGAAUAACAAUUAGAAAUGAUUGCUAAUACCGUAUGGUCUCUUCGGAGUAAAGAUUUAUCGCUACAAGAUGAGCCCGCGUAAGAUUAGCUAGUUGGUGGGGUAAUGGCCUACCAAGGCAACGAUCUUUAGCUGGUCUGAGAGGACGACCAGCCACACUGGAACUGAGACACGGCCCAGACUCCUACGGGAGGCAGCAGUGGGGAAUAUUGGACAAUGGGCGAAAGCCUGAUCCAGCAAUGCCGCGUGAAUGAUGAAGGCCUUAGGGUUGUAAAGUUCUUUUAGUGGGGAAAAUAAUGAUGGUACCCACAGAAAAAGCUCCGGCUAACUCCGUGCCAGCAGCCGCCGCAG